CACAUGCAAGUCGAACGCGAAAAGGGGGCAACCCCUGAGUAGAGUGGCGAACGGGUGAGUAAUACAUCGGAACGUGUCCAGUAGCGGGGGAUAACCUCUCGAAAGAGAGGCUAAUACCGCAUACGACCUACGGGUGAAAGAGGGGGAUCGCAAGACCUCUCACUAUUGGAGCGGCCGAUGUCGGAUUAGCUAGUUGGUGGGGUAACGGCCUACCAAGGCUACGAUCCGUAGCUGGUCUGAGAGGACGACCAGCCACACUGGAACUGAGACACGGUCCAGACUCCUACGGGAGGCAGCAGUGGGGAAUUUUGGACAAUGGGCGAAAGCCUGAUCCAGCCAUGCCGCGUGAGUGAAGAAGGCCUUCGGGUUGUAAAGCUCUUUCGGCGGGGACGAAAAGGUGCGUGAUAACACCGCGCAUCCAUGACGGUACCCGCAGAAGAAGCACCGGCUAACUACGUGCCAGCAGCCGCGGUAAUACGUAGGGUGCAGGCGUUAAUCGGAAUUACUGGGCGUAAAGCGUGCGCAGGCGGUCUAUUAAGACAGGUGUGAAAGCCCCGGGCUUAACCUGGGAACUGCGCUUGUAACUGAUAGGCUGGAGUGUGGCAGAGGGGGGUGGAAUUCCACGUGUAGCAGUGAAAUGCGUUU
rnacentral:rRNA from 1 species